AGCCUGGCUGGACAAAUCUUCAUCACAUUUCAAGCUAGCCAUGAAGCACUAAGUAAUAUGGUGCUGCUUUUGUGCCACCAGGGCCAGGAAGCUCAACAAAUCCUGAUAUAUAUACACAUUUAGCUAAAUCCACAGCAUAAAUGCUCUUCGUUUCCUCCUAGAAGUGCAGAAUAUUGAUUCAACUGCUAUCCCUGGGCUGAAAGACAGAAUUGAGAUUUCAUCUAUUUGCCUUUGUAUAGAAAUCUUUUCUAUCCAAUGGAAUAUGGAGGAGUGACCUACAUGGGCAGGCACUGGUUGAGAAUGGUUCCCAUGCAUUAACCCCCAGGCACUUGCAGCCUGCCCUGCACAGAGGCCUAGGAGACACCAACUGCCAGAGAAUACCUCCACCUCCAACAGACACGGAAACCUGGUGGUAGAUACCAGAACCAUCUGCAGUGACCUCCACAGCCUCCACUGCAGUACUGAAAGCAACUGGAAACAAAAUUAAAUUCCAAACCAGUUUCAAAAGCUGAUCAAUAAAAUUUGCAAGAGUUUCAAAUAUGUAGCCAAAAUACCAUGAUUUGAAAUGAGGCAAAAAAUGAAAGUCCAAAUAUUAAUCAGGAUCAGUAUGAAUUACACCAUCAUAAUUUUUCCGGCAACAUGCCUCAGAAAGAAGGUGGCCUCAGAAGGUGAUGUGAUAAGGGCAUAUGCACAUCUGAGGUCCUCACACCACCCAGGAAGGAACUGGUAUGUUGAAAAGGAAUCCACACUAAAGAGAAAGUCAAAAAAGCUGCGUCUUACUAAAUGCAUAUGUAAGAAAGCCAGAAGCCUCCACUCUGCUCCCUUGGGAUCAGCUCUGACGUUUGGAUGUUUGAUGGUUGCCCAAAACGUCGAGGAGAAACACAGCAUCUCAUGGGUUGGGAAGACAUGAAGACCAAGGCAUUGUGGGGUGUUGCCUCAAACCAGAGGAUGUGAUGACAGCAAAGCAUCUCAAGGAGUAAUGAAAGAGUCCAGCAGCCAUGUCCGACCUACCAGGGGCGUUUAAUGGUCCUGGAGGGGACAUCUGAGAGGCUAAGCAGUAAUUCAGUCAACCUGGUGAAGCUAAAGGAGCAGACAGUGGCCAGUGGCAUUGGAAGCCACCAAGAGGAAUACACAUUUCUGCACUCUGUUGGGCCCCUGUGGAAGAACUCUGAACCCUUCUCCAGAACAAGGGCUCUUGGCAAAUUCCUGGUAUUUUUAGAAAAUCAGCCUGUAAAGACUUUGCCCCCGUGGCUACCAGAGCACUGUAGUGGUGAUCAUUUUAAAAGCCAUAGAGAAGUUUGCAUGGUAGUGCAAUAAGAUGACCUACAUGAUUCACCACUGCAAAAUUUUGAAAUGUGUCAUUGGGUUUUCAUUCCAAGCAGCAAUGGAAAA